rnacentral:lncRNA from 1 species
CUUCUGCUACCUCAACACCCAGCUCUGCUCCUACUCUUCCUCAGCUCCCUCCUACUAACGCCUGGUCGUGCUCCACUCCCAGCUAUGACGGCCACAUGAGCUCCACCCGCACCAACACGAGACGACGAAGCUGACGUCCCGUGCUCCGUAUACCUUCGUCUGCUCAUGAUUCGACCUCCUAUUACUCCACAACGACACCAACCCAUACUCCCUUCCCCUCCACAGCCAAGCAACCGCUGCAUCAGGCACGGGUACGCAUGCCGACUGCCUGAUCUGGUAUGGAUGCGCGCGGUAGCUCCUCCCACCCCUGAUCUUUCCUUGGCAAGCUCACAUCUCCACCUGGUCCGCAACAGGAGACGCCGCGCUGGGUGUUGUAGCUACGGAGGUCAUCGAUUGGGCGAAGGACGCCCAGUGGCAGUGGGAAGUGACCCGAGGCGAGGUGGAGUCAGCAAGGCGGCAGAGGUUGGGCCAAAAAUCUCUUUUCUAUGUUCUCCGCGUACACAAAACUGAUUAUCUCCUUCUCGUAUCCUGCAGUGGCGAGAUUCGGGAUUGAUGGAUCCGACUCCCGACGCUGCGAGCCCGUGUUGCCCAGAUCUUGACGACGGCGAGCCGAGGUUGCCUACGGGCGGCGGGCGGCGCUCCCGUGGCGAGGAUGGCGGGGCCUGGUCGGAUCCGGGCGGAUCUGGCCGGGAUGGAUCUAUUUCUGGCGGAUUUGGCUUGGAGGCAGCCGGAUCUGGCGAGAUUGAGGGCCGAUGGCGCCAUGGUCCUCCUGGAGAUCCCUGCUCACCGAGAAAGAGAGACAGAGGUGAGAGGAGAUCAAGAUGAAGGAGGAGAUGGGCGAGGCGGCGGAGCGGCC